rnacentral:rRNA from 1 species
CAGCCGCCGCGGGAAUACGGAGGGGGCUAGCGUUGUUCGGAAUUACUGGGCGUAAAGCGCACGUAGGCGGCUUUGUAAGUUAGAGGUGAAAGCCCGGAGCUCAACUCCGGAAUUGCCUUUAAGACUGCAGAGCUAGCAGGUGAGAGAGGUGAGUGGAAUUCCGAGUGUAGAGGUGAAAUUCGUAGAUAUUCGGAAGAACACCAGUGGCGAAGGCGGCUCACUGGCUCAUACUGGACGCUGAGGUGCGAAAGCGUGGGGAGCAAACAGGAUUAGAUACCCCCGUAGUCCCUGUCUCUUAUAC